UGGCACACUACUUGGGUCUGCAGAAGAGCCCUGGCAGCAGAACAGAGCUGCAGCUGGGAGCCCAGAGGAGCAGGGGGAAGAAAGGAUCCCCAAGGCUCUGCUAACUGGCCUCAGCUCUGUUUGUAGGCAGUUUCCAGAACAUUAGUUCUCAGGGUGUGAGCCCUAGACCAUUUCUACCAUAGCACCUGGAAAGGGUAGAUUUUUUUUUCCCCUCAACCAUGGCAGUCAGGAAACAGAAACUAGAAAGUGCAGACUUAAAAAGCCUGUCCCCUCUGAGUGUUCUGCCACUGAAUCAGAUACAGGAGCUCCUUAGAGCUGCUCAAAGCAUUCCGACCCUAGACACUUACAAAUCUCUCUGCAGGGCUCAGAAACCCAAGGGCGGGCAGUGCCGACCCCUCUCCCUGCCCCAUUUUGCUCGCCAUGCACCACAGCCCACCUGGCAAGGCCAGGAGCAGCAGGCCAAAGAUAGGUUUUCUUCGAUCUAUCAAGAGCCGCGCAGCACUUCCUGUGCCCCAUGCUUCAUUAGCACAUUGGUGGUGUUGCUUCCUGCCACUGACUCGCUGUUUCCAUUCUGCCAAGGCGGUUUGCUGUUUUCGCUCUGCCUCCGAGGUUGGAGAAAGAUGAGUUUCUCAUAGAGCCUCUCCCGGGCCUGUUGGCAGUUUGUCCUUCCGUGCCAGUUGUGUUUCCAGCGGAAGACGGAGACGGAAAGCUGUCCAGGAGCCACCUCGCGCUGGAAGCCUGGCACCUGAUAGUGUUUGCCUCCCACAGCAGGCCUUGGGGCCACCCCAGGUAGGACCAGACCUGUGGUUUUUGUGUGCUGAGUAAAACUCAGCCUGGCAUGGCAAAUUCAAGGUAAAGAGUCUGUUGAGGGGAAGAAGAUUCUAGAAUAAAAGAGGAACCAAGCUUUAGAAAUGAAGAAAUGAAAACCAAAGACUUUGUUUUUGUGAGGGACUUUGGUGAAUGAAGAUUCUAGGAAGAAGAAAUUUUGAGAAUAAAAAGGUGUGCUAGGGAGUGUUUGCCACCGUGCUGAUUAGGAGGUCUUCCGUCAUUCUUGUAUGAGUCACUAGAAAUUAAAAAUAUAGGUGCGUGUUUGGAAACUGCGAUCCAAUUUGCCUUUUCUCCGAGGAGCCAGCAACAUAGGAAGAGUGGCAGACACUCUGCAUGGCGGUCAUGAUUGACAUCAGAAGCAGAGCCUAAAGCCAGAGAGGACUGCAGCGGUCCCCCGGAGGAUGGCCGUCACCCCAGCCCCUUCAGACCUUGCAAGGAGGACAUCGGACACCAGCACUCGGAUGGUGACUUUCAGCAGCCUGGAAGAGGGUAAAGACCAGAGCAGCGGCAUCCUUUCUGGGUUUGCAGGACUCCUUGCCCUCCUCCUGAUCAUCACAGCUUUCUGCAUCCUGUGGAACUGGAACAAAAGGAAGAAGCGACAAGUUCCUUACCUCCGAGUGACUGGCAUGCCCUCAUUGACCCUGCCUCAACCCAGACAACGGGCCAAAAAUAUUUACGACUUCUUGCCUCGCCGACAAGAAGAGCUAGGGAGGCAUCCGUCAAGAGGUAUCCGCAUUUUCAGUGCUGAGAGCCUCAUCUCCAGGACCUCUGACAGCCCUGAGCAUGUGUCCUCUCAAGCAGAGAACAUCCUCCAGAGACACCGCGUCUACAUCCACACUGCGGGCUAUGCGGUGGGUGUCUAUGACAAUGCCACUGUGCCCCAGACGUGUGGGAACCUCCCUCCCUCAGCAUGCUACAUCAAUGUCACAGCUUCCAGGGAUGGCUCGAGCGUAUCCUCAGAGGAGUUAAAUGAUUAUGUCAAUGUGCCCACAGAAGAAGAGACUGCGGAAAUGUUAACUUCUACAAGCAGCCCAGCUGAAAAUGUCUUUGUCCUUCCACAUGUCCAAGAGCUGGAGUUUAAUGAAGAAGGACAUGAGAGCUGUGGUAACACCAAUGAUGGCACCAGUGUUGGGUCUCCAGAAACUGAGGUCAACGAUCCAGUCAGUGAUGGGGAAGGUUCUUCUCAGACCUCCCAUGACUAUGUCAACAUGACAGGUUUGGAUCUUGGAGAUGUUCAGGAGAAGGAGCCCCAGGUGGAUUUUCAGAGCUACAGAGAUUAUGUAAAUGUCCCAGCAGCAGCUCCCAAUGGAAGCACGCAGCAGGUUGAGGAAGAAGAAAUGUCUUCAACCACAGACUGUGGAGAGGGUGGGACAGAUGGUCCAGAGACCCGCAUCCAACCUGUCACAAGGAGAUCCCUGUCUUCAGGGUGUUAUGUGGCCCUUUGGCCAUGCAUACAGAGUGGGAACAGUCAGAUGACACAUGGAGAAGAGAUGUCAGAUGAAGACUCGGACGACUAUGAGAAUGUGCUGAUUGUUGAGUCAGAAGGCAGGGACUGGGAGCAGGGGCCUGGUUCUCAGCUCCUUCCUGACCAGUGAGCACCUAGGGACCCAGCUGGACCACCUCAGGGAGUUGCCCACCCUGCUGGUCCUUAGCCGGUGCAGUCUAGUGAAGAUGCCCAAGCACUCUAUUUCAGUGGAUUCAGUUGGUCAAGCCAACCAGGGCAGAGAGGAAGUGGGGAGAUAACAGGCUGCAUAAAAGUAAAGGUUUGGGAAAGCAGUUCCAAAGAUGGGUUGUCUCUCACACUGCCCUCAGAAUUUUUUGCUGAAACUGCUGGAAUGGACUGUUGAGAAAUAAAAAGCAAGAUAGUGCUUAGUGCAUAGUGGAAGCAGAGGCUAAAAUAAUUACCUUCACUAAUGGACACUGCUCCAAAGCACGAGUGUAGAUUAUUUUGUGAUCCAGGCAAAGGAAGGAAGAAGUAGGGUAGGAUUGGACAAUUUCCAUUUUACAAAAGCUGUGGGCAAGGACAUGUGUGUCCUACCUCUCUACGCUAAGAGUACUUGGAAGCUCUUGGUUUCUAAAUGCUAUGCUCCAGUCAAAGUAGCCAGAGCUGCUUGGAAAAGGUCUAGGGGCUGAGACAGGGAAUAUAGGAUGAGCUUGUACAUCAGGCAGGAAAGGAGAGGGGAAGAAGAGAAGAGAGAGAAGGUGACGGAGAGAGAGAGAGAGGGCAAGACAGAGAGACAGAGAGCAACCGAAAGAGCUCCCAAAGACAAAGCUAGAACAAGGUUAAAUAAAUAAAAUAGAUGAGUUCCAAAUAUGUACAGAAAGAAUGAGGGAAACACAAAAUCACCAUGAGAUACCACAGAACAAGUGCUGCAGCCAAAUCCGCUCAUGAACACUAAAAUUAGUGAAACUUUAAGAAGAAGAAAAAUGGCUGAGGAUUUAGCUCAGCGGCAUAAGCGCCUGCCUUGUAAGAAGGCAGUCGUGAGUUCGAUCCCUGGUACCGAUAAAAAGGAAAAAUGCAAAAAAUAAAAAAUUAAAGAAGAAGAAGAAAAACAUUGCCUAGCUUCCAAGAAUCUUGAAAAUAUUUAUUCAUUACUGUGGUGAUUUUAACACAUAUCCACAAAGUAUUUGACAUUUCCCUUGAAGUUUGAUUCCCCUCCCCUUCAGUGCUGGCUAAAUUUAGUGACACUUUCUAAUGAAUAGAAUACUGAAGGAGGAAAACAGGGCUUUACAGGGGAGAAAUGUGGCCUUAACCAAGGGACUGAAAUCAACUUAUCAGAGCAAGUCACAUUGUGAUCAUGUGGCCCCUGAUAGGAUGAUGAAUAGCACCCCAAAACUCAUCACCCAGCCUUAUCAUCAGAAAAAUCCAAAUUAUAUAACAUGGUACAAAAAACCUGAUCAGAUCUAUUUAAAGUGUCAGGGUCAAGAAAGAGGUGAAAGACUGAGAAACUAAGGCGUCACGAUGACUAACACAUAAUGACGGCUCGGGCUGGAUCCUGGAACGGCUACGACAAAGAAGGACCUUACUGGGAAAACUGCUGAGCUAAAAGACGUCCGUAUUUUAGCUAGGAGUACUGUACGAGUGUUAAGUCCUUCACUUUUAUAACUGGUCCAUGGGUAUGGAAGACGUCAGCAUAGAGGAGAGUUCGGAAGACCCCAUCCUGCAGUUGUGAGCAGAAGACAAGCCGUGCUCCUUUUAGAUAUCUCGCUUCCUGAUCGCUCCUUGCUUUCAUAGAAUUUAUCGUCAUUUCUGGUUCUUCUGUGGACCAACAGCCAGCGAAAACUUGCAAACGUUUCCAGAAACACUAAAUCAGAGGGCCAGUGGCCUGUUCCCCCCAAGCUGGAGUUAAAUGGAAGGCACCUGAGGCUCUUCACAUGACAGCCAUCAGAGCCAGCCUCACAGACAAGCGACCUGUGCAGGGACAUGAACCUAGGUAGAGCCGUCAGUAUCUUUAAAUUCUUUUUUUUAAAGGUCUCACUAAGUUGCUUAAUUGCUCAAGCUGGACUUAAACUUCUUCUCCUCCUGCCCGAGCCUCCCAGAGUUCUGGGAUUACAGGUGGGCUCCACCAUGUCUGACCUGAAAUCCUUAGCUUUGAAAGAAAUUCUUCUCUUUGAACUUGUGUCUUAUAAGUGAAAUCUAUUGAGAUGAUGGAGACACCAUGCACACAAUGUGCAUGUCCAGCACUCCUGUCCCCCUCUAUACAUAAAAUGUUUGUAGUGCCCCAUGCUUGGAGGUCUCUGGGGGCCCCAUGGUGGCAGUUAAUCCUAAUUGUUUGCUUGAACUGAAUAAGAGACUUCUGGAGAGAUGCCCAUGGAUUAAUCUACUGGUGUUUAUAGCAGAAAGUGCUGUAGGGAGGCGGAGUUUAUUGAAGAAGGUGAAUCACAGCAGUGUGCCUUUGCAAGACUUAUCUCUUGCUGAUGUUUUUCUCUUGGGCUCUGCUUCCUGUCUUCCAUGAAGAGAGCAUCUUUCUAUGACCUUCUACUUUGAUUUUUCUGCCAUGGAGUCGCUGACCAUGGACUAGACCUCUGAAACCACAAGCCAAAUAAAUCUCUCUUCCUUGAAA